GACGAACGCUGGCGGCGUGCUUAACACAUGCAAGUCGAACGGAAAGGCCCUGCUUUUGUGGGGUGCUCGAGUGGCGAAAGGGUGAGUAACACGUGAGUAACCUGCCCUUGACUUUGGGAUAACUUCAGGAAACUGGGGCUAAUACCGGAUAGGAGCUCCUGCUGCAUGGUGGGGGUUGGAAAGUUUCGGCGGUUGGGGAUGGACUCGCGGCUUAUCAGCUUGUUGGUGGGGUAGUGGCUUACCAAGGCUUUGACGGGUAGCCGGCCUGAGAGGGUGACCGGCAACAUUGGGACUGAGAUACGGCGCAGACUCCUACGGGAGGCAGCAGUGGGGAAUAUUGCACAAUGGGCGGAAGCCUGAUGCAGCAACGCCGCGUGCGGGAUGACGGCCUUCGGGUUGUAAACCGCUUUCGCCUGUGACGAAGCGUGAGUGACGGUAAUGGGUAAAGAAGCACCGGCUAACUACGUG
rnacentral:rRNA from 1 species